rnacentral:tRNA from 1 species
GGAAUUGUGCCUGAACAAAGGAUUACUUUGAUAGAGUAAAUAAUAAGGGUUAAAACCCCUUCUAUUCCU